CGGUAAUACGGAGGGGGUUAGCGUUGUUCGGAAUUACUGGGCGUAAAGCGUACGUAGGCGGAUUAGUCAGUUAGAGGUGAAAUCCCAGGGCUCAACCCUGGAACUGCCUUUAAUACUGCUAGUCUUGAGUUCGAGAGAGGUGAGUGGAAUUCCGAGUGUAGAGGUGAAAUUCGUAGAUAUUCGGAGGAACACCAGUGGCGAAGGCGGCUCACUGGCUCGAUACUGACGCUGAGGUACGAAAGUGUGGGGAGCAAACAGGAUUAGAUACCCUGGUAGUCCACACCGUAAACGAUGAAUGCCAGUCGUCGGGCAGUAUACUGUUCGGUGACACACCUAACGGAUUAAGCAUUCCGCCUGGGGAGUACGGUCGCAAGAUUAAAACUCAAAGGAAUUGACGGAG
rnacentral:rRNA from 1 species